UCUCUCCACACUCUUUCUCGAACAAAACUCUAUCACGAAGAACAAAUCGAAUAAUUGGUAUUUGAAUACCCAUUUUUGUGGCUUCAAUUAAAAGGCUGUUAUUGUUUACUUUAUGAUUUUGCAGGUGAUUAGAGCUUCAGAUUGUUGCUUCAACUCUUCUUCUUCGAUUAAUUGGUUAUGAAAUAUGUGCCUUAAUGGUAUAAUGGAUGCUCAUCUCCGCUACUUUAAACAGAGAGACUGAAUCCAGACCACUGGAGGCUUAGGGUGAGAUGAUGACAUGAUGGAGAGGAUGGAGCUUGAACUUUUACUCUUUAUUUUUUAAAUUUCAGUUAAUUGUGAUACUUUAACACUUGUUUUGCUGGUUGUGGAUACACCAUUGUGGGGUGUUUGGAUUUUGAAAUUGUUAAAUUUGGUUACGAGGAUUUUCUUGUUUAA